AAUACCAACCUCUUAAUGGUACCAUUCAGUGUUUAACCAUACAGUGAUAAGAAGUUGCUGAAAGAAAAAAAAGACUCUGGAUACCCUUUUCCUUCUUUCUCUGUAUCCAAAACUAGGGUUCACCAUUUCCCCCUUUCUCCUCUCAUCAACACCACCUCAGCCCCCAUCCCUCUCCUGACCACCUCCCGCCGCCCUCCUCCUCCGUCUCCUCACCACCGAGAGCCGCCCUCCUCCUCCCUCUCCUCGCAACCGAGCGCCGCCCUCCUCCUCCCUCCGGCCGCCUCCAUCCCUCUCCUGACCACCUCCCGCUCGGCGCCUCCUCCUCCUCCUCCUCACAACCUACACCCGGUCGCCGCCUCCUCCUCCUCCUCACAACCUCCCGCCGGUCGCUCCUCUACCCAGAGCUCUUGCCAAACAGAUACAUUUCAUUCAGCACAUAAUAGUUCAGAGGGGUAAAAUAGUUAUUCUGCACAGUCAUUCAGAGAUACAACCAAACAGCUCUUAAUGGUUCAGCACUUACUGGUUCAGAGCCUCUUACCCAUUCAGACCUCUUACUGGUUCAGCACUUACUGGUUCAGCACUUGCCAAACAGCCCCUUAGUUUGCUAAUUGUAAGACAUGGUCAUGAUGUGAUUACUUUGAUAAUUUUAUAUUUUAUAACUUGCUCCAUAUUUGUAUGAAUUAACAUAUAUUUCUAGUAUGAUUAUAGAGAUUACCUGUA